UACACGACCGUACCGCAAACCGACACUGGUGCGCGAGAUGAGUAUUCUAAGGCGCUUGAGAGAACUCAGGAGAAGGAACUCGGCAAAUUGACACCGUAACUUCGGAAGAAGGUGUGCCUUUAGUAGGUGAACCAUUUACUUGGGGAGCCCAAUGAGGCUGCAAAAAAUCGGUGGCUGCAACUGUUUAUUAAAAACACAGCACUCUGCUAAGACGAAAGUCGACGUAUAGGGUGUGACGCCUGCCCGGUGCUGGAAGAUUAAAUGAUGGGGUGCAAGCUCUUGAUUGAAGUCCCAGUAAACGGCGGCCGUAACAAUAACGGUCCUAAGGUAGCGAAAUUCCUUGUCGGGUAAGUUCCGACCUGCACGAAUGGCGUAAUGAUGGCCACACUGUCUCCUCCUGAGACUCAGCGAAGUUGAAAUGUUUGUGAUGAUGCAAUCUCCCCGCGGAAAGACGGAAAGACCCCAUGAACCUUUACUGUAGCUUUGUAUUGGACUUUGAACAGAUCUGUGUAGGAUAGGUGGGAGGCUUUGAAGUGUGGUCGCUAGAUCGCAUGGAGCCAACGUUGAAAUACCACCCUGGUGUGUUUGAGGUUCUAACCUAGGUCCAUUAUCUGGAUCGGGGACAGUGCAUGGUAGGCAGUUUGACUGGGGCGGUCUCCUCCCAAAGUGUAACGGAGGAGUUCGAAGGUACGCUAGGUACGGUCGGACAUCGUGCUAAUAGUGCAAUGGCAUAAGCGUGCUUAACUGCGAGACUGACAAGUCGAGCAGAUGCGAAAGCAGGACAUAGUGAUCCGGUGGUUCUGUAUGGAAGGGCCAUCGCUCAACGGAUAAAAGGUACUCUGGGGAUAACAGGCUGAUACCGCCCAAGAGUUCAUAUCGACGGCGGUGUUUGGCACCUCGAUGUCGGCUCAUCUCAUCCUGGGGCUGUAGCCGGUCCCAAGGGUAUGGCUGUUCGCCAUUUAAAGAGGUACGUGAGCUGGGUUUAAAACGUCGUGAGACAGUUUGGUCCCUAUCUUCCGUGGGCGCUGCAGAUUUGAGGAAGCCUGCUCCUAGUACGAGAGGACCGGAGUGGACGAACCUCUGGUGUAUCGGUUGUCACGCCAGUGGCAUUGCCGAGUAGCUAAGUUCGGAAGAGAUAACCGCUGAAAGCAUCUAAGCGGGAAACUCGUUUCAAGAUUAGAUCUGCCGGGGCCUUGAGCCCCCUAAAGAGUCGUUCAAGACCAGGACGUUGAUAGGUCAGGUGUGGAAGUG
rnacentral:rRNA from 1 species